UACGUAGGGUGCAAGCGUUGUCCGGAAUUAUUGGGCGUAAAGAGCUCGUAGGCGGUCUGUCGCGUCGGCUGUGAAAACUCGGGGCUCAACUCCGAGCUUGCAGUCGAUACGGGCAGGCUAGAGUUCGGCAGGGGAGACUGGAAUUCCUGGUGUAGCGGUGAAAUGCGCAGAUAUCAGGAGGAACACCGGUGGCGAAGGCGGCGUCCUGGACCAACACUGACACUGAUGAGCGAAAGCCAGGGGAGCAAACGGG
rnacentral:rRNA from 1 species